rnacentral:lncRNA from 1 species
CAGUUACAUCAAAAGUUUCGAGUAUUCCUCUUCUUGGUUGCAUCAUAGACUUUCUUGUUCAUCUAUGUACGUUUUCCAGUACAACCUUUUCUGACAAACAAGAGAAAAAAUUCAUUGAUGUGGCGGUCGAAGAAAAUCGUGCAGCUCAUAAGCACUUUAGGCAACACAAGUGUGCUAAACUCAAUUAGCCUUAAUAUUAAGUAUUUCUUACUAUAUAUAUGUAUAUGAAUAUAUAAGAUCUGAUGUGGUAAUAGUUGCCUUACAUAAAGAGUUUUUUCUAUGAUACAUUAAUAUGGUUCUACAUGAAUAAAUAUUAUUUUUCAGUUCAUACUAUGUGAAAUUUUCCAUUUGGAGCAAGAAAAGUUGUCAGCCUUUACCAGGAAUAUCCCAGCUAUGCCUCUACGAAUCGUAGCUCACACUGCUUCGUCGAAGAUCCGAUGGCAAGAAUGGAGCUGUACUUUAGUCCACAUGAGAACGGAGAAUAUACUACUUGUGAACCAUUGAUCAUAUGUCUA